GAAAAACAAAAGAAGAACACGAAUCUGAAGACGAACGAGUUUGAAAAUGUCUAGUGGGGCUACAUGGAGUAGUGAAGAGGUGUAGGUGCACAAUUACAUUUGAACACCAAAGUAGCAACAGAAACCUUAUGAGACAUACUUUCUUUUUUGGGCUUCUUGGCCCGUUUUAGGGUCCAGAUGGGUUCAUACCGGAGUAAUCCGCUCCAUAAACCAAACUCUGGCAUGGUACAAAGCGUUCCAAAGGUUCAGUGAGAAAGCAGUGACACUUUUGAACUUUUCCCUUUUAUUUUCAAUGGUAGUUCUGGAUGCAACACAUGUUUUGGCCACCAGCGAAACUGGUAAAGCUCCAUAGUUUGCCUGAAGAAGUUACAACUGUGGGCUUUAUAAGAAAGUUUUUGUCUAAUCCAUGGCAAUAAUGAGGACAAGGACUUUAGUGUGUGAAACCACACACUUUUGAGCGCGGUGAAGUUACUUUUAGGAUGAAUAUUGUAUAUUUGCGCCCCGUGUAUUCAGGGGGCUUGUCCUCCCAUUUGAUCCAAUAUAGGCAGUCUGAUUACGGGCAGCUGCUCCCUCCCCCUGCAGACGCUGGUUUGCUUGAGGACCAUCAAUAAAUUUCCAAGCCAAACACGCAGUUUCAUGGUGUUUUGGAAGGAAACAUUUGUGCGUCUGAACAGCUGACUUAGGAUGUUAUUAAAUAAAGUGCCCCAUCUGCGUGUAAUUCAGAAAGAUGAAAGUUUUCUUUUCUUUUCGUUCAACCUUUAGGCAUGGAUUAUGAUUUGUAAAUUGUAAAAUUCUAGUUUGAUUUGACCCAUCUGGCCAUUGUGAUCCUUAAUAUUAUUGUAAUCGCUCUUGAGUUUUAUUACCUUUUCCCUGCACUAUCUCUUUGAAAACCUCAUCUCUCCUGGUCCCAUGGCCAAUCAGUGGCCAGCAGUCUGUUUAUGUCACAUGUAGUCCCAACUCAGUCCCGAUUGUAUCAGGAGCAGGGAAGAAAAAAGUAGGUACCAGUGCGGAAAAAAACAGUAAUGAAAAAGCGGGCAGAGUCGAGCAAAGCCGGACUAAAUUGAGCCAGUGGAAAACGGGCAAUUGUGUUUAGAGAACAGCCAGAACUGGUUCCAGAGCUAAAUUAAUUACUACUUCAAGUAUCGUGUUGGUUUUUAUUUACAGUGGCUUAUAAAAGUAUUCAUACCCCUUAACCUUUUCCACAUAUUGUUACAUUACAACCACAAACAUACAUAUAUUUGAUUGGAAUUUUAUGUGAAAGACCAACACAAAGUGGUAUACAAUUGUGAAGUGGAAUAAAAAUCAUACAUGAUUUAAAAAAUAUUUUACAAAUAAAAAAGUGAAACAUGCAGUGUGCAAAAGUCUUUAGCCGCCCAAAAUAUGGUGCCAGCUGCAUCAUGCUCUGGGGGUGCUUCUCUUCAGAAGGGACAGGGAAGGUGGUCAGAGGUGAUGGGACGAUGGAUGGAGCCAAAUACAGGGCAAUCUUGGAAGAAAACCUGUUGGAGUCCGCAAAAGGCUCCAUUAUUUGGUGCACUACAAUUCUAAUCUAGAAGAUUUUCAGUUAAAUUUGGUUUUAAAGUUUCAUUUCUGCUCAUAAUUAUUCUUGUUUUCUGCGAUUCUCAUGUACUUAGGGCUGGAGUUUGAUCUCUAGUGUGAAGGCCACCACACCCCUUUUUCGCCAUCAUCGUGUAGGACUGUGAUAAAGGACAUGCAGGUGGAAAGAAGGUGAUGCUAACAACACCCACUUUAUAUAUUACAGUUCUGUUACAACUAUGAUCUGAACAAUGCCCCUGACGUUUAAUGCUUGGAUAACAUGGAAUAACUAAGAGGAGAUAAUGCCCUCUUCAAAAGACCCCACUGGUUUCCUGCAGAUUUAGUUCUGGACUCUGGCUAGGCAAAUAUUAACCAGUCGAGAUGUAGGAGGCUGAUGUGCUCCUAUUAAAGAAGACUGAAAGCUGAAACUGAAUCAAAAGGUGCUUCAACAAAGUUUUAGUUUAAGUGUGUGCACAAACCAAGCAACUACUCACCUGUUUGGCCACCAGUCCUGUACCACACGCCACAUCCAGCACAACGGCUGCUUCUCGCACAGCGUUAAAAUGGGAUGAGAUGCUGUUUGCUGCGAGACUUGGUGCACAGUAGUCCA